rnacentral:rRNA from 1 species
AGAAUCAACGCUGGCGGCGUGCCUAACACAUGCAAGUCGAACGAGAAAGUGGAGCAAUCCAUGAGUAAAGUGGCGCACGGGUGAGUAACACGUGACUAACCUACCCUUGAGUGGGGGAUAACCUAGAGAAAUCUGGGCUAAUACCGCAUAAUACCUUCGGGUCAAAGGAGCAAUUCGCUUAAGGAGGGGGUCGCGGCCGAUUAGUUAGUUGGCGGGGUAAUGGCCCACCAAGACUAUGAUCGGUAUCCGGCCUGAGAGGGCGCACGGACACACUGGAACUGAAACACGGUCCAGACUCCUACGGGAGGCAGCAGUGGGGAUUUUGCGCAAUGGGGGAAACCCUGACGCAGCAACGCCGCGUGGAGGAUGAAGUCCCUUGGGACGUAAACUCCUUUCGAUCGGGACGAUUAUGACGGUACCGAGAGAAGAAGCCCCGGCUAACUUCGCGCCAGCAGCCGC